rnacentral:rRNA from 1 species
GGGCCCGCACAAGCGGUGGAGUAUGUGGUUUAAUUCGAUGCAACGCGAAGAACCUUACCAGGGUUUGACAUCCUGCGAAUUUCUGGGAAACCGGAAAGUGCCUUCGGGAGCGCAGUGACAGGUGGUGCAUGGCUGUCGUCAGCUCGUGUCGUGAGAUGUUGGGUUAAGUCCCGCAACGAGCGCAACCCACGUCUUUAGUUGCCAUCGGUUCGGCCGGGCACUCUAAAGAAACUGCCUGCGAUGAGCAGGAGGAAGGCGGGGACGACGUCAAGUCAUCAUGGCCCUUAUGGACUGGGCUACACACGUGCUACAAUGGCGGUGACAACAGGCAGCGAAGGGGUGACCUGGAGCAAAUCCUAAAAAGCCGUCCCAGUUCGGAUUGUACUCUGCAACUCGAGUACAUGAAGUUGGAAUCGCUAGUAAUCGCAGGU